CUGUACAGUUCAGAGUUUGAUCCUGGCUCAGGAUUAACGCUGGCGGCAUGCCUAAUACAUGCAAGUCAAACGGGAUUAUAGCUUGCUAUAAUCUAGUGGCGAACGGGUGAGUAACACGUGGGCAACCUGUCCUGAAGACGAGGAUAACAGUUGGAAACGACUGCUAAUACUGGAUAGUAUAUUUAGUCGCAUGACUUUAUAUUUAAAGAUGCGUUUGCAUCACUUUAGGAGGGGCCCGCGGCGCAUUAGCUAGUUGGUGAGGUAACGGCUCACCAAGGCGACGAUGCGUAGCUGCGCUGAGAGGCGAAACAGCCACAUUGGGACUGAGACACGGCCCAA
rnacentral:rRNA from 1 species